UUUCCGGUAGUUAUCUGUUUAAUAGUAUGUCUUUUGUAUCGAAUUUCGAGAUAUGUAUUAUCGAUAAUUAUUAAUUAAUUACUUUGUUUAACGUGUGCCAACGAUAAAUGCAAAUGUUUUAGUAUUCUUCUAUUAUAAUUAGAUAAGCGUUGAAACCUAAUUCGAUUAAUAUAUAUAUAUAUAUUAUUACAUUUCGUUUGACUUUAACCACGCAAUAAUGAAUAGAUCGGUCUUUUUGAAUUUUUACUUCGUUAUUCAAAUUUUUGUGAAAUGGUGUACUAUUUUGCAUUGGAAGCAUUUUUUCUUGAUGUCUUCUUUCUGUGGAAAAGAUUUGUAAAGUAUAAGAAGACUGUAUAAGACAUCGUUUUAAGUUUGCAGAAUACAGAGGUAUCAAUUAUGCCACCCUCAGUUAGUAGAGGGUACGUGACACCCUUUAGCACCUCGUAACUGGAGAUUGUAAGCAGAGAACCGAGGAAGCAAACUAACCAACGUCGUCAGCCCUACAUGGUUUUAAUCGCACGUCCUAUGAAACGAACAUUGGAUGUCGCGUCAUCUGCUACGAACAAAUGUUAAGUAAACCAUGAGAGAAAGGAACGUCACGUGAUGCGAUAAAGCGAGAUUAAUGACGUUCGAGAGUACGAUAAAAAUACUCUGUUGAUAGCAAGAAAGAGUAACGAGAAAGUAAAUGCGAUUGACUAGACUUUCAAAAGAAUAACUUAUUAGAUUCGAUUCUUUCCUUUGAACGGUAGUAGGUAUCUUUUAUCACGAAUUUAAAGGAUUUCGAAGGAGAAGUGGUAUAAACAAUUAAAAAUGAAAUAUUUGAAGUCUUUAAAUAUUAUUAUCGUAAAUUCGAUUAAGUACAUCCAUCUUUUUUUGUUACAAAGAUUGAAUUACUUCAUAUGAUAUUAGUUCGGACCUUUCGUCCUCGACCACAGUUAUAAUAAGAAAAUGUAUAAAUUAUUUCAGAAAUAUGUGAUAGAGAAAUAUAUUUACUUUAAGUUUUUGUUGAUAUUUGCAGGAAUCAGGAAUUCUGUCAGAACUUCGAUGUUCACUCGUCGGUGUACAAAGUAAGAAUGAUCUAAUAACUGUUAACGUCGAUCGAAGAUCCGACUAUGUUGACUUCACCCGUAGCUAAAACCGCCAAUUCCAAAAUGAAGGGAAUCCUGUGUAGAAUUUCUAUGUUCCCUCGUUGGAGUACAAAGAAAGAUUGAUCCAGUAAUUGUUAAAGUCAACCAAUAGUUUGGUUUUGUUGAUGUCACGCGUAGCUAAGGGUCUCGAGAUUAAAAUUUUUUCACUAUUGAAAUUUCAAAUAAAAAUUAUUGUAAAUUUCGCGUUACGAUCUUUGUAAUAAUUAAGCGAAUGUAUUAUUGUUUAAAUACUAGUUUUUUGUAUUCCACGAACAUUAAAAACUAUUUAAAUAAUUGUAAAAUUAUCGAAAGUAUUAAUUUCUAAGCUUUUGUUUGGAAAGAUUUUCGAUGUUCUCUCGUCGGAAUACAAAAAAAAAAAGUAAUUUGAUAUUUUUAUGUAACUAUUUAGUAAAUGCGUGCAUGCAAGUGAAAAAGUAUUUGUUUGUGUACUUUUUCAUUGAAAGUGCGCAAAUUCUUUUAAGAAAUUAUGUGUGUAGUGUAACAAGUUCACAAUUGGGAGACAAUGUUCUUCAUUCAUUGUGCUCGAUUCCAUGUAUUUUUGUAAAUGUGUGCAGUAUCUGUGUGACAGCAAACAAGAAUGAAUAUUUUUGUCCGCAUAUUUUGCGAUGAAAUACAGAUAUUUUUGCAAAAAAUGAUAUUAAUUGAUAUGCUAAUGCUUUUUAGAAUUUGUAUAGAUUAGUAAUGUUGGAAAAUCUAGAUUAAAUCUUUUUUUUUUUCUUGCUUUAUUCCGAUUAAUUUCUCCUUCGUUGCAGCUUUUUUUUCUUCAAAAGCCAUUUGAACUUCUGAUUACCAUCGAAUACAGAAUAAAUAUUCUCGAAUAGAAAUUAUUUAUUAAUUAAUAUUUAUAGAACAAUCUAUAGGCGAGUAUGAUAAAAUAUUGUCCAUUUUGAAUAUUUAUUAGAGAGACUAAUCAUAGAAAAAGAUAAAUUCUGUCAUUAUUCGAUUUAUCAAUUAGGUACUUUUUGACUAGGGAAAUAGAACAAAGAAGGAACUACGAAAUAGUUUACGCGGGAAUUUACGCGGGAAUUUACACGGGAAUUUACGCGGGAAAUUACGCGGGAAAUACGCUAUAUGCUGUGGCGGGAAUUUUAGAUACUUUAAUAGAAAAUAGUAUUAUUAAUAGAAAAUAGUAUACAUGAUUAAUAACAAUUUUCAAUGAUUUUUUUGCAAUUAAAUAUUAUAUUCUGUUAUUUUUCAAUAAAAUGUUAAAAAAAAUUAAUAUAU